rnacentral:rRNA from 1 species
AUUGAACGCUGGCGGCAUGCCUUACACAUGCAAGUCGAACGGUAACAGGUCUUCGGAUGCUGACGAGUGGCGAACGGGUGAGUAAUACAUCGGAACGUGCCUAGUAGUGGGGGAUAACUACUCGAAAGAGUGGCUAAUACCGCAUGAGAUCUACGGAUGAAAGCAGGGGAUCGCAAGACCUUGUGCUACUAGAGCGGCCGUUGGCAGAUUAGGUAGUUGGUGGGAUAAAAGCUUACCAAGCCGACGAUCUGUAGCUGGUCUGAGAGGACGAUCAGCCACACUGGGACGGAGACACGGCCCAGACUCCUACGGGAGGCAGCAGUGGGGAAUUUUGGACAAUGGGCGAAAGCCUGAUCCAGCAAGGCCGCGUGCAGGAUGAAGGCCUUCGGGUUGUAAACUGCUUUUGUACGGAACGAAAAGCCCCGGGUUAAUACCCUGGGGUCAUGACGGUACCGUAAGAAUAAGCACCGGCUAACUACGUGCCAGCCGCCGCCGUAA